GCAAGUCGAACGAUGAAGCUCAUUUGAUUUCUUCGGAAUGAAAAUGAAUGGAUUAGUGGCGAACGGGUGAGUAACGCGUGAGUAACCUGCCUUACACAAGGGGAUAGCCUUUGGAAACGAAGAAUAAUACCCUAUAAAACCAUAAAAGCACAUGCAAUUAUGGUCAAAGUAUUAGCGGUGUAAGAUGGACUUGCGUCUGAUUAGCUAGUUGGUGAGAUAAAAGCCCACCAAGGCAACGAUCAGUAGCCGGCUUGAGAGAGUGUAC
rnacentral:rRNA from 1 species